rnacentral:rRNA from 1 species
GACGAACGCUGGCGGCGUGCUUAACACAUGCAAGUCGAACGGAAAGGCCCUGCUUUUGUGGGGUGCUCGAGUGGCGAACGGGUGAGUAACACGUGAGUAACCUGCCCUUGACUUUGGGAUAACUUCAGGAAACUGGGGCUAAUACCGGAUAGGAGCUCCUGCUGCAUGGUGGGGGUUGGAAAGUUUCGGCGGUUGGGGAUGGACUCGCGGCUUAUCAGCUUGUUGGUGGGGUAGUGGCUUACCAAGGCUUUGACGGGUAGCCGGCCUGAGAGGGUGACCGGCCACAUUGGGACUGAGAUACGGCCCAGACUCCUACGGGAGGCAGCGGUGGGGAAUAUUGCACAAUAGGCGGAAGCCUGAUGCAGCAACGCCGCGUGCGGGAUGACGGCCUUCGGGUUGUAAACCGCUUUCGCCUGUGACGAAGCGUGAGUGACGGUAAUGGGUAAAGAAGCACCGGCUAACUACGUG